rnacentral:tRNA from 1 species
ACCUGGCUGGCUCAAUCGGUAGAGCAUGAAGCUCUUUAUCUUGGGGUUGUGAGUUUGAGCCCCAUGUUAGGUU